UGUGGGGAAGGGAGGGCGGAAAUUGCGAAUUAGGGGGAGCCAUCUCUCCCAGGCCACCCAGGGCUGAUCCAGACGCAGGAGUUCGGAACCACACCGAGGAGACCCAAACCGACGGGCUGGAGAAAAGUUUGUCCUUGUUUGUCUGUCCAUCAUUCUGCCACCAGGGUUAACUCAGCCACUGCGGCCCAAGAGAAGCCCUUGGACCAACCAACCUGCUCCUGGGAGGUCAGUUGUCCUUAGGGAAGCAAGAGCGAAAGAAAGGCAUGGAAAAAGGAAAGAGCCUCACCAAAAUCAACGACUGCAACAUUUAAUACCCACAGCCCAGAUGCAACAGUGACUGCUGCCUAAGCCCAGAGCUCUGAAUAAACCACCCAACAGCAAAGCCUGUAUGACCUACAGUACUAACAUUCACAGAGAACUCUCCCCCCAUAAACACGAGGGGUACGUAAGGUGAAAGCAAGGCACAACAGCAAGAGACCUGCAACACCCCACCCCCACUGCCAAAAGCCACCACACACAACCUGAAAGAGGGGUCGACGGGAAAGCCAAAUUGGCCACAACCAAGGGCAAUACCAAAACCACAGAGACUGCCAUGGGCCCAGAAAACAGUAACACAAUACAACCACAACAGGACCCAGAAGACGUUGACCAGGAAGUUAAAGAAACCACUAAAGCAAUGGCUAAACUGAUGAAACAAUUAGAAGAGAUGGUGGCCAAGGUCAGUACUCUCAGAGGCAGCGUUACCGCCUUGGAGAGGAAGAACCAGAUACAAGGAAAGCAUUUAAAACAACUACAUAAAGAAAACAGGGAGCUGAAAAGCAAGCUAGCGGACCUCGAGAAACGCUUAUCUUAACAGUGGUUUCAAACUCUUCCAAUGCAGCUUUGUGUUAGUGUGCUGUUUACAAUAGAAUAAAAUUUGCUGUUUGUC